AACGAACGCUGGCGGCAUGCCUAACACAUGCAAGUCGAACGAGACCUCCGGGUCUAGUGGCGCACGGGUGCGUAACGCGUGGUAAUCUGCCCUUAGGUUCCGAAUAACUCCCCGUAAGGGGUGCUAAUCUCGGAUAAUGUCUUCGGACAAGAGGUUUAUCGCCCUUGGAUGGGGCGGCGUUGGAUUAGCCGGUUGGUAGGGUAAAAGCCUACGAAGGCGAGGAUCCAUAGCUGGUCUGAGAGACUGAUCAGAGACACUGGAGCGAAGACACAGCCCAGAAUCCUACGCGAGGGGGGAGAGGGGAAUAUAGGACUAUGGCGGGAAGGAUGAACGAGCAAUGCCGGGUGAGUGAUGAAGGACGUAGGGAAGAGAAGCUCUUUUACACGGAGUGGUAAUGACGGUACCGGGAGAAUAAGCUCCGGCUAACUACGUG
rnacentral:rRNA from 1 species